rnacentral:misc_RNA from 1 species
AUCAACAUCAACGCAAAACUUGUGUUUGCGCUUUGGAUGCUGAGGGUUGCUGGCAUGUUCCAAAGUCAGCUCCUUUUAAAUUCAUUAGCUUGAACGGUGUUUAGAUUCAGCUUCAGUUUGAUAAAGGAUUUAUUCGUCUGUCUUGUGCUGUUUGCUGAGGAACCCGUUUGACCAACCUUGUCCUCUUGGAGGACUGUCUCGCUUUUUACUAGAGGCAACCCCUUUGAC